UUAGUAUUUAUUUUAAGAAAACUGGAGUCUCAUUAUCGUAAAAGUUAAUUACAAUCCUAUCCAAACUUGAUCCCGGGGUUUUUAAUGCAAGUUCCGCCAUGUGAUUUUGGUACAUAAUUCACUUCAAAAAGAUUCUUAAAAACUCCAAACUUGAUCCCCAGGGCUUUUAAUGCAAGUUCCGCCACGUGAUGUUCGCACAUAAUUCACUUCAAAAAGAUUCUUCAAAACAAAUGCUUGACACGAUCAGUAUUCCACCCCACUUCUGCUAACGCUGUUGUUAAUAAGAUGCACCGUAUCCAUGGCAUCGGGUUCAACAAUUGCAGGAAUUAAUCCUGUUCCAAUGGCUAGUCACACCUUUUCAGAAUUGCAACAGAAAUGAAUCUUGCGAACGGAAGCAGCCGUGUUUCACCUUUUUCAUUCUUCAUGAGAACGCCAAUACACGAGACGGCCGAGAUAAAAAUUUAACAUUAAAAGCUCGUAGAUACCACAAUCUAGAACCAGACCUCUCCUGAGUCAUUCUUGGCUCUUCCAUCAAGCCACAUCCGAAUAUCCAUUUCCCAAAUUCAAAAUUCAUCCUUUGAAGUUUCCAUCUAAUUCAUCCUUUGUGUCCGUAGUGGGUGAGCAGCUGGAGAACUCUUGAUAUCCAUGAUACAGCCAAAAGAAGUUCCCGACUUUCUUAACAUUCUGGCAAUAGUCACAUUGAAAGCAGACGGCUUGAAAUGAUAUUCCUUUGGAUCGAGAAAUGUUGUAAGGCCCGUUCGAAACUACAAGGGCAUAUAUUGAGUCAUGCUUUCUUAUCAGAGAAUCUCAAAGGAUCAAAUGCCAAAUGUCAUGCCCUAUUUAUAGGGAGGCUCGCCAAGCUUUAGGGUUCUAGAGAAUUCUACCAACUUGCCUAAAUAUCUAGAUAUUUACAUGUACUAGAAGUAUGUAGAGAAUUCUACAUAUGUACAAGCUUGAAUUGUGCUAGAUUUAGCUAGAAAGCCUUGAGUGCGUCCGUCUUCACGACUGCGGGAUGGCUCCGGUGGAACAUACACACCAACAACACCCCCUUCUGUUGGGUUUGGAGGGUUGGCCAUUGCAGUGCGCAAACAGACUGGCCGUUUAUUUUCGCACUCAUGUACAUGAGCCCCUUCUUGGUGAAUGCGGGCCGUUGGCGAUUGAGUGCGCCAAGACGUUGGAGAGAACCCAUGUUAGCUCGUCUCUACGUUGUCCGUCAUGAUCGUGAAGUGUGAGCCAAGUAAGUAAUGUCGCCAAAUUCACAAGCAAUGGAUGAUGGCUGGCAAAAAUCAAACCACUCUAUGCACAGUGCCUGCAGCAUGUUUAUCAACAAUAAAGUAAGCGAAAACAGAGAUCUAAGGAGCAGCAUUUAGUAGCAGCUAAUAAUCACUUAACCAUACCAUAAAAGUAAAUCAACACCAAAAAGUUCCAAGAACAAUCCUCCAUCGCCGCAAGAAAAGCCUAGAUAAUUGCAAUUCAUUAUUCACAGAGACAUGCAUAGAUGAGUGAAACAAGAAAAAAGACUAGACAACCGGUGAGCAAAUGCUUAUCCCAAACAUAUAAAAAAUAAUGAAUUACUGCAAGAGAAGUUAAGAAACUAUUAUUCUUAUUUAGUAAUGGUAUAGGAUGCAUAGAUGAGUGAAACAAGGAAAAAGACUAGACAACCUAUAAUAAAUUACUGCAAGACAAGUUUGGAAACUAUAAUUGUUAUUCAGCAAUGGCAUAGGAUACAUAGACGACUAAAACAAGGAAAAAGACUAGACAACCUGUGAGCCCAAACAUUCCAAAAACCUCCAAAAACAAGUCAUCAACAUCAGCACUCUGUUCACAUGGUCGGAAUAACCAACAAUGACGGAGCACCAGAAUCAGUGCAACCACAGAAUGCAGGAGGAGUUGACGGGUCUAACUCAACUAAGCAGAAAAUAAUAAAUUAGCAGUAGAAGCUCAACAGCAUAGCAUUCCAUAAUUUUACCACAUGGAAAAUGCUAAUUGCAUAUACGAUAACAUAUCCCUUCACUGCAUAAUUUCAGCAAACUUAUAAAUUUGAGACCACCCCAGACAGACAAAAGAACAAAGUUACAAGCUUAAAAAACUGGAAAACAAGAAUCUGAGAAACAAGGCAACCACUUAUCGAAUUGGGAAAAGAAGCAAACCAGGCGGUAAUCCUCACAGAAGUCAAGACUCUUUCUGUACCACAAGUUCGCAAAAUGAAAAGAUCAGACUAAGAUUGAGCCUAAAAGGUAUUGACAGAAGCAAGAAACUUAAGCAUGCUCAGGGGUUUUUUGAUGAGCUUUUGGGGUUUUUUGAUGAGCUUUUGUCCUUUAACCAUUUUUCAGAUAUUCCACAAAUCAAAAAUGAAAGAAACAAGCCAACCACUCAUCGAAUUGGGAAAGAAGCAAACCAGGCGGUAAUCCUCACAGAAGUCAAGACUCUUUCUGUACCACAAGUUCGCAAAAUGAAAAGAUCAGACUAAGAUUGAGCCUAAAAGGUAUUGACAGAAGCAAGAAACUUAAGCAUGCUCAAGGGUUUUUUGAUAAGCUUUUGUCCUUUAACCAUUUUUCAGAUAUUCCACAAAUCAAAAAUGAAAGAAACAAGCCAACCACUCAUCGAAUUGGGAAAGAAGCAAACCAGGCGGUAAUCCUCACAGAAGUCAAGACUCUUUUUCUGCAGUACAAGUUUGCAAAAUGAAAAGAUCAGACUAAGAUUGAGCCUAAAAGGUAUUGAAUAAAGGACAAAAGCUCAUCAAAGACCCCCUGACCGUGCAUAUUUCAGAUAUUCCACAAUAUUCCACAAAUCAUAAAUGAAAGACCAAGUUACCAAAUGUAUUUCGUGCAUUCAGCCAACGAAAGUAAUAAACUGGGUAAAGAACAAAAAUGGGUUUAGUAGCACAGUCACAAUAAUCCACAAAAACAUAGAAAUGCUGUCCCCACAGCAUAGCUUUCGGAGUAGAAAAGCAAAUUAGAAUUUGAACUUUUAGGACCAUGGGCACAAGUAGGAGCAAGAAAUAAUAAAAAAGAACUAAAAAGCUCAAUAUACACUAGAGUAACAUGUUCCAAAAAUCCUUUCAAAACACAGGAACAUCUCUAAAUCUGCGGCACUAAAAAUGGGAGAGAAAGAAAUGGACUAGCAUACUAUCUGAACUUUAAGUGCUUGGGUAGCAUAGGUAGAAAUGAGAAGUCAGUUAAGAGAUGAAAACACGCAAAUCCCUCAAAAUAAAUAGCCUUCACAUUCCUCAAAAAUUUGAAACACACUGCCACCACUGCAACAAAAUUUGGCAAAACAAAUAACAAAAUUAGAAACACGCUGCCAUCACUGCAACCAAAUUUGCAACAAAAUUAGAGACCCCCUGUUCAGCAGAGUCCCAGUUGUUACACAAAAGCAAGAAACCUCUCACUAUCACUGCAACAUAAAUUUGCACAAAUGAUUAACAAAUUACAAGUUGAUUUUAUGUGUCUAGACAGGUGGAAAGAGAAGUAAUAAACUAGAAUAUUAAAAAAAAAAAAAAGACUAACCAAAUUACAAGUUGAUUUUACGUGCCUAGACAGCCACAAAGAGGAGUAAUAAACUAGAAAGAAGAAUAGAAAAAAUGCAAUUAAAUGCCCGAGUGGUAGAAUGGUUGACACUCCUCAAAAACUAAGAAUAUUUCUCAAGCACAGCAACAAAAAAUUGCAAAAUAUGAAAAGACCAAACAUAAACAAAUUUCUAAAAAAACUCACCAGAAGCCAAGUAGCAAACUCCCAAUACUCCUCAAGAACUAGGAUCGUUUCUCUACAGCAGUAUAAAACUUUACAACAGGGACACGACCAACAUUCACACUGCUCUUGAAGGAUCAUUCCUCUACAGCAGUAUAAAACUUCACAAUAGGGAAAUGAUCAACAUAGACAGGUCUUGAAGGAUCAUUUCUCUACAGCAUUAAAAAAUUCACAACAGGGACAUGAUAUAGUGCUCUUGAAGAAUCUAUAAAAGUGAUUUAAGGAAAGGUCUAAAAUAACUCAUUAUAGACACCCUCCGGUUAAGCAGUUCCAAUACUCGUCAAAAACUAACCAUUUCUCUUGCACUGCAACAUAAAAAAUAUUGCCCCAAAGCAUUCAUAAUAGAAGAGAUAAACUAAUCGUUCCCAAAUAGCAGAGUCCAGAUGUUCCUCAAAAAUUAUGAAUAUUCCAACAUCACUGCAACAAAAAUUUGCAAAAAUGAAAAACCAAACACAUAACCUCAACUUUAUAGUAUUCAGAAAGCCACAUAUGGAAGCCAAACCCCAAAAAACCUCACAAACUCGGAACAUUUGCUAUCACUCAAACAUGAGAAAAUGAAAAACCAUAUUACCAUUACAAGCUUUAUAUAUUUAGACACAUUAAAUAUAAAUUAAGGAAAAGAAUAGGAACUUAUUAGGCAGCCCAGAGCAGCAGAGUCCCGGUAUUCCGCCAAAACAUGGAAAUUCUCCAAACCACUGCAACACAAAUUUGCAAAAGUGGCAGGACAUUGUAAUGAAACUCAAGUAACCAGACAACUAGAAAUAAAGAUAACAGGAAACAACAAAAAUACUCAUGAGUAACCCGCGGGGCAAUCUCCCAGAAUUACUGAGAGAACGCCAAAACUUCCCCUAAAACUGCAGCACAAAAUAUGUAAGAAUAAAAAGCUGUAAAAAAUAGAAGUUCAAAUAUUCAAAAAGGUGCAGAUAGAAGGGAGAUAAUACAAGAAAUAAUCUAGCGCGGUUAGAUAA
rnacentral:lncRNA from 1 species